rnacentral:misc_RNA from 1 species
AAGUCGUAACAAGGAUCAUUAACACGUAUCCAAACGUUAAACCCCCCUGUGAACCUUCACCUGUACUCGUACGUCCGUUAGAAAAAGCAGCACGACCGGGUCGCUGGGCGCAAGCCCCCCUAUAACAAACCCCCUGCCAAUCGCGGCCGCGAUAAUACGCAGUCGACCAAAAACCGAACAACUGUUAACAAUGGAUAUCUUGGUUCUC